rnacentral:siRNA from 1 species
GAACGAUGAAGAUGAGCGAAGAAG